UUUAGUGCCGCGGGGGACGCGGUAAUACGUAGGUGGCUAGCGUUAUCGGGAUUUAUUGGGCGUAAAGCGAGCGCAGGCGGUCUUUUAAGUCUAAUGUGAAAGCUUUCGGCUCAACCGAAGAAGUGCAUUGGAAACUGGGAGACUUGAGUGCAGAAGAGGACAGUGGAACUCCAUGUGUAGCGGUGAAAUGCGUAGAUAUAUGGAAGAACACCAGUGGCGAAGGCGGCUGUCUGGUCUGUAACUGACGCUGAGGCUCGAAAGCAUGGGUAGCGAACAGGAUUAGAUACCCUGGUAGUCCAUGCCGUAAACGAUGAUUACUAAGUGUUGGAGGGUUUCCGCCCUUCAGUGCUGCAGCUAACGCAUUAAGUAAUCCGCCUGGGGAGUACGACCGCAAGGUUGAAACUCAAAAGAAUUGACGGGGGCCCGCACAAGCGGUGGAGCAUGUGGUUUAAUUCGAAGCUACGCGAAGAACCUUACCAGGUCUUGACAUCUUCUGCCAACCUAAGAGAUUAGGCGUUCCCUUCGGGGACAGAAUGACAGGUGGUGCAUGGUUGUCGUCAGCUCGUGUCGUGAGAUGUUGGGUUAAGUCCCGCAACGAGCGCAACCCUUAUUACUAGUUGCCAGCAUUCAGUUGGGCACUCUAGUGAGACUGCCGGUGACAAACCGGAGGAAGGUGGGGACGACGUCAAAUCAUCAUGCCCCUUAUGACCUGGGCUACACACGUGCUACAAUGGAUGGUACAACGAGUCGCGAAACCGCGAGGUUUAGCUAAUCUCUUAAAACCAUUCUCAGUUCGGACUGUAGGCUGCAACUCGCCUACACGAAGUCGGAAUCGCUAGUAAUCGCGAUCAUUGUCC
rnacentral:rRNA from 2 species